GUAGUGUCCUCGCAUGCUUUUGACGGGUAACGGGGAAUUAGGGUUCGACUCCGGAGAGGGAGCCUGAGAAACGGCUACCACAUCCAAGGAAGGCAGCAGGCGCGCAAAUUACCCAAUCCCGACACGGGGAGGUAGUGACAAGAAAUACCGAUACAGGGUCCUUUGUGGCCGUGUGGUUGGAAUGAGUACAAUUUAAACCCAUUAGCGAGGAACAACUGGAGGGCAAGUCUGGUGCCAGCAGCCGCGGUAAUUCCAGCUCCAGGAGCAUACAUUAAAAUUGUUGCGGUUGAAACGCCCGUAGUUGAAAUUUGGGCCGAGUCUACUGGUCCGUCUCACCACGUGUACUGGUAUGACUUGGCCUUUCCUCCUGGCGCCACCUCAUGCUCUUGGUUGAGUGUGUUGGGAAACCAGGACGUUUACUUUGAAAAAAUUAGAGUGUUCAAAGCAGGCGCAUGCCCGAAUACCUUAGCAUGGAAUAAUAGAAUAGGACGUCAGUUUUAUUCGUUGGUUUCUAAGACUGACGUAAUGAU
rnacentral:rRNA from 1 species